GACAGAGGGUGCAAACGUUGUUCGGAAUUACUGGGCGUAAAGGGCGCGUAGGCGGCCCGCUAAGUCGAACGUGAAAUCCCCGGGCUUAACCCGGGAACUGCGUCCGAUACUGGCAGGCUUGAAUCCGGGAGAGGGAUGUGGAAUUCCAGGUGUAGCGGUGAAAUGCGUAGAUAUCUGGAGGAACACCGGUGGCGAAGGCGGCAUCCUGGACCGGUAUUGACGCUGAGGCGCGAAAGCUAGGGGAGCAAACGGG
rnacentral:rRNA from 1 species